rfam:Hordeum vulgare subsp. vulgare, WGS project CAJW01000000 data, contig: morex_contig_42690
UAACUACUCCCUUCUUCCAAAAAAUUUAUCUUAUAUUUGUCUAGAUAUGAGUGUAUUUAAUCACGUUUUAGUAUUUAGAUGCAUUCAUUUCUAAACAAACUUGAGACAAGAAUUUUGAGACCGAGGAAGUAUGUU